CAGUCGCCGCGGUAACACGGGGGGGGCAAGUGUUAUUCGGAAUGACUGGGCGUAAAGGGCACGUAGGCGGUGAAAAGGGUGGAAAGUGAAAGUCGCCAAAACACUGGCGGGGUGCUUUCUUGACCAUUUCACUUGAGUGAGAUAGGGGAGAGUGGAAUUUCGUGUGGAGGGAUCAAAUCCUAAGAUAUACGAAGGAACGCCAACCGCGAAGGCAGCUCUCUGGGUCCCCACUGACGCUGGGGUGCGAAAGCAUGGGGAGCAAACAGGAUCAGAUACCCCAGUAGUCCCUGUCUCUUAUACA
rnacentral:rRNA from 1 species